UUAUGUUAGCAUAAAAGAGUUCUUUUAGUGUAUCUCUACCUGAUUUCACAAGUAGACAAAGCUCCUACAUUAAUUUCUUCCAGAUGUCUGCUGUACUUCCUAAAUUGCACAGAUCCAUAUUCCUUUCACUCUUUAUUUUUUCCCCUCUAAUCUUUUUUUGUGUUUUCAGCUUGGUACUUCUGCUCCUCUCUUCUUCCUGUUGUACCCUGGCAGGACCUGUGGGGACAGAGGGUCCCCACUGACAGCUGCCCUGUGCCAGGAGGAUGUGGAAUUGGAAACUUGAUGACUUGAUUUUCCAGAAUAAGAGCUGUGAAUCACUUUGAACUUGUCAGAAUUCAUGCAGCCAGUUGAGAGCUGAUCAACCUGUGAAAACCUGGUUCUGCCUGAUGCUCCCCCUCACUGCCUCCAGGCUGAAUAGCUGGUUAUAGUGUGAUUCUACAAGCCAGUUCAGUUCCUGGUGAAGAUGUCAGGAUAUUGUCAAAAUAAAUCCAGAGAUGGAUGAAUUGUGAUAUCUAUUCUGUUCCAAGCAGAGUGAAAAGCAAACUCUAGAGCAAUGCCUGUUUUGUACUAUGGAGCUGUCUGCAAGGACAGAAUAUUUUCAUCUUUACACAAAGGGGAAAGGAGGAAGCCUGAAUUCCGUCUGAAAAUCCAUAAAACAUAGCAAACUAGAAGCUGUCAGAGAAUUCAGCAGAAUUUGAGUACUUCCUCCCUGAGUGCUUCUCCAGACAUCCUCUGCUGGCCACCCUCAAAAGAUGGGCUACUGAGGUAGUCCUGCAUCCUGUCUUGGAGAAUGACCAACGUAAACUGCCUAGGGACCACAGCAAAAAAAAGAGCAGUGACACAAUGAUAUGUCUCAGAAUGGUCUCCCAGUCUCCCGUUUUGCUGCUCAGGGACUGUCUGACCCAGGGAUGGCUGUAAGGCCAAAAAGGUGAGAAAUGUACCUCAGAGGAGACUUGUUCAGUGUCAGGACCCGGACCAAAGGUCUUACAGCCUUGUCAUGAUCCUACAUAAUGUUCUUCAGAAAAAUUACUUCCCCCUGUUCUUUUUUGGCUAAUCCAAAAUAGAUGACACCAACCAAGCAGUGUGCUGUGCCCUAAACUUUGUGUUCUUGCCACCUAACCAGGUAAGCAUAUUUCAUUUUCAGUUGCCUGCUUUUUACUUCCUAGAGAUUCAGUCAGGAGACACUGUUAAUGUUGACGAGGAGCCUGGUGUCUCCAAGCUCACACUGAUAAAGACAGAAGAGGGACAGGCUGCUCUGAGACCUGUUUGAAGAUUAAAUACAUCUCACAUCUAGACUGGGAGGUUUUGACUUUGAAACCAGGAGAAGGUGCAGUGACUCAAUGUGAAUCAGAGAUGAAGCAGUCAUAGCUGCCUUCCAGCAUUAACAAGCAUUCAUCUAGGAUGCUCUUACACAAACAUUUGCUUAUUUCUAAUGAAAAUUAAGUUCUUCAAAGAAUUGUAGUUACAGCAAUAAUAUUUGGAGCAAGAAGGUUUUAGAGUUAUUCACACUAUAUGGACAUCACCUCAUCAUUUACUUGUCAAAAUCCA